CUUGAAAAUAAGAAGUAAUUGCAUUCAUAAAACAACAUUGACAUUAAAACAUUUAUCAAUGUAUACUUCGUACAAUGAAUGAAAAAAAUCGAUAAACAAUAGAAAAUUAUAUAAGCGACGAUCAUUUGUUCUACAGUGAUUCCCGCUUAAAUGUAAAACCAUGUCACAUGACAGUCAUAUGAUUUGAAAAACACAAACUGGGGCAGCAUGUGCAUACAUACUUUUGCCGGCCAAAGUGGAUUUAGGACUGAUAAUCAUUCUGGGAAGGGUAGACUGUUUUUGACCUUAAUAAAAUGGCAGAAAUUGCAUUAUCUUUACUAAUUCAAGCAAUAAUAACAUUUCUGGACAGAGUUUGAGGCAUCUAUGUUGUAGUCAUAUGACCUUCACCAUCAUGUUAUGAAUAGUAAUUAUCGAUGACGUCACAUCUUUUGUUUAGAAAUAUAAAACCCAAAACUAAAUUGGUGCGUCAUUUCUGGUCCGCGUCAAAACAGGUACCAAGACGAUAUAGCUUUAAU
rnacentral:lncRNA from 1 species